GUCCGAGAUAUCCACAUUAGGGAUAUUCGCAGAGGUCAGCUCAACCGUAGUGCAAUGGAAGAGCCUCACCCUGGAGGAACCGCCUUCAUGAUCACGGUAACCUCUACGCCAGCCGUUGCACACACAUCGAAAAA
rnacentral:lncRNA from 1 species